UACGGGGGGAGCAAGCGUUGUUCGGAUUUACUGGGCGUAAAGGGCGCGUAGGCGGUCAGCACAAGUCAGUUGUGAAAUCUCCGAGCUUAACUCGGAACGGUCAACUGAUACUGUGCGACUAGAGUGCGGAAGGGGCAACUGGAAUUCUCGGUGUAGCGGUGAAAUGCGUAGAUAUCGUAAGGAAGACCAGUGGCGAAGGCGGGUCUCUGGACAGUUCCUGACGCUGAGGCACGAAGGCCAGGGGAGCAAACGGG
rnacentral:rRNA from 1 species